rnacentral:rRNA from 1 species
GACAGAGGGUGCAAACGUUGUUCGGAAUUACUGGGCGUAAAGCGCGUGUAGGCGGCCCUGCAAGUCGGGUGUGAAAUCCCACGGCUCAACCGUGGAAGUGCACUCGAAACUGCAGGGCUAGAGUCCUGGAGAGGAAGGUGGAAUGCUUGGUGUAGAGGUGAAAUGCGCAGAUAUCAGGAAGAACACCCGUGGCGAAGGCGGCUCUCUGGGACGGUACUGACGCUGAGACGCGAAAGCGUGGGGAGCGAACAGG